GACAGCUGGAGCCCCAGCAACCGCACCGGGGACCAUCCAGCUGGGACCCAGACCCGGAGGCGACCUCUCCUGAGCAGCCGGGUUUCUGCACCUCCUGCGUGGACGUCCGGUCCCGGGGCAACCUGGGCUUCCCGCUGGGCACCUGCUCUUCAGAUCUCCUGUCGCUCUAGCAGCGGGGUCCUCACUCCUGCAAGCGUUGGAGGUUCCCUCAAAGCCCGGUCCUUGAGGAAGGGAUGUCGCGAUGUGGAGCUCUCCCUGAGCCCCGGCCGGAGCUUAGUCUUUGCUUCGGGUCAACCUCUUCUACCCAAACCGCGGAGAUGGAGGGCGGGGAGAAAGAGCCGGUUGGAACUGGACCGCUCCAGGCAGAGGGGAAACCUGAGUGGGCGGGAGCCACCCCUGGCUGAGGGUCUUGGGGACGCUACGGGAGCUCAGGUCACUAGGGGGCCUUGCGCGUGCAGCAGAUCUAGGCUGCGCGUACGUCCUGGUUCGCAGGGUCUAAGUAAAACUCACAGAUGGGAACCGAGACUUUAGUAGCCAGAAAAAAAAAAAAAGAAGUCUCGGACCCCAAACUUUGCUAGUGACUGGUGUUUGAGCUCUCUUCCAGCAGGUAGAUGCGUCACUGUGCGAACGCAUCCCUUUAAAACGGAAAGCUGCUCUCCUAAGCAGGGGGGCGGGGGUGGAAUGUGAUGAACUAAAUAUUGUAUAAUGAGGUCACCAGUGUUUUGGUUGCCAGUGAAUUCUCCCUCUUCUCAUCCAAAGCACCCAGCAAGUGGGGGCUGCACUUGUACACUUAACCAAGUCUAAUGUGCCAGGUGUUUAUGUCUGCCCAUUCUGGAGAGCGGUACAAUUUCUGAUACUUCAUAGAUACUCAGUAACUACUGAAAUUAUUUGGGUUGUAUAACCUCACUAAGGGGUAACAUGGAUUAAAAAAAUGUAAAACUUAGAAACUGUGGGAUUGCAUUGGAAGCUGUAACAAGUGCUUAACUCGGUGGUAGUCCUGUAAAGGGAACAGAUGGUAGUUAUAAUCUCUGUGCAGAUAUACUUGUCGUUAAUCCUAUGUAUGUAGGUAGCCAAGAAGUUUGAGACUAACUAUAGCUAGGUUAGAGAGAGGAGUUACCUGGACUUGCAUUGAUCUAAAAGGAGAGGUUGAGGUUGGUGUGUCUGCAGUCAGACAUUUCAACGCGCCUUCCCUAGAGAACAUUUUAACAUUCUGCUCACUUAAUUUUCAUUACAAAUAAGUAUUAUCAAUUCAGCAAGUGUGCAUAAAUAUGAAGUGUUCUGUGUUGAUGUAUUCCCUUUUAUAACAUCUCUGCUAGGACGGAAGAAAAAGAGGCCUCAAGAUGCUCGUUUUAUGCAAAAGAGACAGAAGGGCAAACAUCCCCCCCCCCCCCCGCGCGCCCCGAAGUAAAUCCAUGUAUCAGCUGAGGGUCUGGUGAAUGGGCACCGCAAGUGUGACCCAAGACAACUGGAGGUCUGGGAGUCUCCCUUCUGUGUGUUUUAGCUCAGAGUCUGGGGUCUGGAAACCACUCCUAAUGACUGUGUGCUUGUCCAUGGGAGGCUCCUGAAGGACUUGCUGGAGGAGGCAGUGUGUUAACCCGCUGGGACGAAGGAGCCAUUCUGUCCUGUGCCCCGCUGCCUGUGUCUGAACACACCAACUACCUCAGUGUCUAGCCAGGGCACCAACCUCUGUGUAGCCCUGGAAGUUAUGGGAACAGGAUUAUACACUGCAGCCAUCAAAACCGGUUUAAGGGUCUUCAAGAUGACUCAGCAGAUAGAAGGAUUGCUGCCAAUGCCUAGUAACCUGUAUUUGAUAGCCAGGAUCUACAUAGUAAGAUAGAACAAACUCCAGGAAGUUGUCUUCUGACCUUUCACCCCAUGCCCUUCUUCCUCCAAACAAUAAAUGUAGUGAAGAAUUGUAA